rnacentral:rRNA from 1 species
AUUGAACGCUGGCGGCAGGCCUAACACAUGCAAGUCGAACGAGUGGCGGACGGGUGAGUAAUGUCUGGGAAACUGCCCGAUGGAGACGGAUAACUACUGGAAACGGUAGCUAAUACCGCGUAACAUCGGAUGUGCCCAGAUGGGAUUAGAUGGUAGGUGAGGUAACGGCUCACCUGGGCAACGAUCCCUAGCUGGUCUGAGAGGAUGACCAGCCACACUGGAACUGAGACACGGGCCAGACUCCUACGGGAGGCAGCAGUGGGGAAUAUUGCACAAUGGGCGCAAGCCUGAUGCAGCCAUGCCGCGUGUAUGAAGAAGGCCUCCGGGUUGUAAAGUACUUUCAGCGGGGAGGCGUUACCCGCAGAAGAAGCAACGGCUAACUCCGUGCCAGCAGCCGCGGUAAUAC